rnacentral:rRNA from 1 species
UACGGAGGGUGCGAGCGUUGUCCGGAAUCACUGGGCGUAAAGGGCGCGUAGGCGGCCUGAUAAGUAGGGGGUGAAAUCCUGCGGCUUAACCGCAGGGCUGCCUUCUAAACUGUCAGGCUGGAGCACAGUAGAGGCAGGUGGAAUUCCCGGUGUAGCGGUGAAAUGCGUAGAUAUCAGGAGGAACACCGGUGGCGAAGGCGGCUCUCUGGACGGAUACUGACGCUGAGGCGCGAAAGCGUGGGGAUCAAACAGG